ensembl:lncRNA
AUUUCAGCUUUAGAAAUAAUGAUCUGAAAAAAAAUAUGAACAUAAAAAUCAAGGCACGGUGAGACUUCGCAGAAGUGAAGUGCUGAAAGGACACUGAUUUGGGGUUGGUAGAGCUGGUUUAUUUUCUUCUCUUGUAGAAGGGACCUUUAAAGACCAUCUGGUCCCAUUCCACGCACUGGACAGGAACACCUGCAGGUGCUCAGAGGCCCCCAGCCAGACUGCAGGGAGAUCCUGGGGAUCCCUAUAGGAGCUGGCAGGAAACACCACACUGGGAAACCCCACCUGGCUGAGGGUCCCCGGGUGGCUGCACUGUUCUCUGAGAAUCACUGUGCUCUCUGCAACCUCUGCCAGCAGUCCUCCCACCACUAUUUAUUGCAGUUUCCAGACCACCUGCAGGCCCCCUGAGCUCUGCGUGAGGGCAGAUUUGCGGCGGCCACGGAUCAAUAUGACCUUCUGUUUUAUGAAUGGGGGAAGGGAAUUUAUUUGGAGGCAGAGCAUCCACAGCACAUCGUGGUUUGGGGCUUCUGUAAGCAAUUAUUGCGAACCUUGCAUCUGGGAGUGAGGACUGCCAGCAGUUCUCUUCGAGGUCAGGGGAUGCAUCAGUUCACUUGUGGGCACUGCCCCGUCCUCCUGUGUGCAACGUGCAGCAGUUUGGGUUGGGCUUGGUGAUCUCGGUCUUCUCCAACCCUAACGAUGCUAUGAUUCUGUGAUCCUAUAACUCUAAGCUGGGUCGGCCCCGACUUGCAGAAAGGCCC